UACGGAGGGAGCUAGCGUUGUUCGGAAUUACUGGGCGUAAAGCGCACGUAGGCGGCUAUUCAAGUCAGAGGUGAAAGCCCGGGGCUCAACCCCGGAACUGCCUUUGAAACUAGGUAGCUAGAAUCUUGGAGAGGCGAGUGGAAUUCCGAGUGUAGAGGUGAAAUUCGUAGAUAUUCGGAAGAACACCAGUGGCGAAGGCGACUCGCUGGACAAGUAUUGACGCUGAGGUGCGAAAGCGUGGGGAGCAAACAGG
rnacentral:rRNA from 1 species